rnacentral:misc_RNA from 1 species
UUUGACGUUUAUCAUCCAAAGAGUUGAGCGUGCAAAAGUGUAAUUCCGUUAUUCUACAGUUCUACAUUUAUCUGCUGGCUUAGGUAACUAUACUGUCAGUUCUACUAUGAGUAUUUUCAGUGUCGUCAAAGAAGCACCGCCUAUCGAAGUGUUCCAUCUAGUGAAAGUGUUUAAUGAAGAUGACAAUCCAUCAAAAGUAAAUUUGACCAUUGGGGCAUACAGGACGGAUGAAGGCAAACCGUUUUAUAUGCCUGUUGUGAAAAAGGCUGAAAGUGUGGUACUCGAGAAUACGUUAAAUCAUGAGUAUUUACCCAUAUUAGGCUUAGAAUCAUUUACUAAAGCUGCAUCACAACUUCUAUUGGGCAAUAUCGCUGAACGACAAGAAGAGGGAACUAUCUUUGGAGUUCAAUCAAUCAGUGGUUCUGGAGCAUUAAGAGUGGGUGCAGAAUUCUUAGUUAAACAUUUGAAAUGUACCACAUUCUAUUAUUCAAUACCAACUUGGGAAAAUCAUCAUUUGAUUUUCAUGACUAGUGGAUUUCAAAAUGCCAAAACUUAUCGCUAUUGGAAUGAAGAAACAAGAUCUCUUGAUUUUGAUGGAUUUUGUGAAGAUUUAUCAAAUGCACCAGAAAAUUCAGUUAUUAUAUUGCAUGGAUGUGCUCAUAAUCCAACUGGCUUAGAUCCAACUGAAGAUCAAUGGAAGAAAAUUGCAGAAAUUAUUAAAGAACAUAAUUUAAUACCGUUCUUUGAUAAUGCUUACCAAGGAUUUGCAUCUGGAGAUUUGGAAAAAGAUGCCUGGUCUGUACGAUAUUUUCUUAAUCAAGGGUUUGAAUUUUUAUGUUCACAAUCAUUUGCUAAAAACUAUGGACUUUAUAAUGAGCGUGCAGGAAACCUUACUUUUGUUCUGAAUUCUUUGGAAAAUGUUAAGGCUGUAAAAUCUCAGGUGACAAUGAUUGUUAGAGGGAUGUAUUCAAAUCCGCCAAACCAUGGUGCACGUACUGUCAGUACAAUAUUAAAUAAUGAUGAAUUAAAAAUGAAUGGAUGGAUACUUUAAAGUUAAUGACAGAUAGAAUUAAAGCUAUGAGAAAAGUUUUAAGAGAAAAUUUAGAAAAGCUUGGAACAAUUGGGACAUGGAAUCAUAUUACUGAUCAAACUGGAAUGUUUUCCUAUACAGGAUUAUCAGCAAGUCAUGUAGAAUACUUACGAAACAAAUACCAUAUUUACAUGUUGCGGUCGGGACGUAUUAACAUUUGUGGAUUGAAUACAAAUAAUAUAAAUUAUGUAGCUGAAGCAAUUACCGAUGCUUUAUUAAAUGUUACCAAGUAAAAAAAUAAAAAAUAAUAAGACCAUACCAAACAAAUUAUUUUUCAUGUUUAAUUCUAUGGACUAGAAAAAUUGUAAUUUAAUUAAAUGAACCUAAUUGAUAUUUACACAAUUAUGUAUUGUUUUAUGAUUAUUUCAACUAUCAAUUUGUUAAUUAUAUUAUACUAUUAAAUAACUUACCUUGAUUAUAAAUUAUUACUUAACACUUUGACUUGAGCGAUUCCCUUGUACAGAACAUUUUUUGUAAUAAUAGUAAUAAGUAUAAUAAAAAUAUAAAAAUUACCCAAAAUCUCAAACCACCGCGAAUUAAACAAUUUCAACCGUUUAUCUGUGCGGUAGCGCAAGCACAAAUAGCUUGUUGUAUGCUAGUAUUAUUGGGUGAGAUCAGAAAAUAAUACAGGUUGUUGACGCCCGCCGCAUAGAACACAUACGAUUUGUCGACGUCAGCAGUCAAAGUGUUAAUAAUAAAUACAUUUUUAGAGAUGCAAAUUUUACCAUACAUUUUCUGAUACAAAUAUUGUUUAAUAGUAUGACAUAUAAAUAAAUUAAAUAAAGCCAAAAGAUCAUUAUUUUAUAAUGAAAAUAGAUUUUUAAAUUAAAAGGAUUAAACAAAAAAUAUUUGAAAAAUAUACUGUAUAUUUAAUUUGCAUCUCUUAUAUAACCUCAUUAUAAUGAUUUGAAUAAUAUUGAUUAUUUAUCAUUUAAUACCUAUACCAAAAUUUCUUAUU